ensembl:lncRNA
CAAAUCAGAGUUCUGAGUGAGUUUUUCUUUAGAUAGGCAAAGGCCAUUUAUUGAUUACAUAUAGGCUAUUAAAUGUUUAUUAAAAACUAUAAAGCAUUAAAAAUAAUAAACAACAUGCAUUUACUGUCAUUAAACUAGUGUAGAGUCUACGACCACAUCAGCAUGAUUAUAAGCAUCCUGUGGUAAAUUCACAACCAGAUACUGGUGUCUCUUACCAUAUGGACUUCAGGAGAUGAUUGGGGAUGAUAAAUAUUAUAAAUGUCGUAGACCACAGACGGUGGUGUUGAUGACUGACGUAGACCACACACGGUGGUGUCGAUGUCUAUGACGUAGACCACAGACGGUGGUGUUGAUGACUGACGUAGACCACACACGGUGGUGUCGAUGUCUAUGACGUAGACCACAGACGGUGGUGUUGAUGACUGACGUAGACCACAGACGGUGGUGUCAAUGUCUAUAAUGUAGACCACAGAUGGUGGUGUCGAUGUCUAUGACGUAGACCACAGAAGGUGGUGUUGAUGACUGACGUAGACCACAGACGGUGGUGUCGAUGUCUAUGAUGUAGACCACAGACGGUGGUGUCGAUGUCUAUGAUGUAGACCAUAGACGGUGGUGUUGAUGCCUGACAUAGAGACAUAGACCACAGACGGUGGUGUUGAUGACUGACGUAGACCACAGAUGGUGGUGUUGAUGUCUAUGACAUAGACCACAGACGGUGGUGUUGAUGUCUAUGACGUAGACCACAGACGGUGGUGUUGAUGACUGACGUAGACCACAGACGGUGGUGUCGAUGUCUAUGAUGUAGACAACAGACGGUGGUGUUGAUGACUGACGUAGACCACAGACGGUGGUGUUGAUGUCUAUGACAUAGACCACAGACGGUGGUGUUAAUGUCUAUGACAUAGACCACAGAUGGUGGUGUUGAUGUCUAUGACGUAGACCACAGAUGGUGGUGUUGAUGUCUAUGACAUAGACCACAGACGGUGGUGUUGAUGUCUAUGACGUAGACCACAGAUGGUGGUGUCGAUGACUAUGAUGUAGACCACAGACGGUGGUGCUGAUGACUGACGUAGACCACAGAUGUAAUCAAUUGGAGUCUAGAUAUAUGAUCGUCUGUAAAUAAAACCGGUAAUAUCUCAGCAGCACAAACGAAGCCCGAACCACUCAGCCUGUUUGGAUGUUUUAUGUGAGAAAAGCAAAUCUGAAGAGCAAACGUCCAAUAAGAUUGAUGUGACUUUCUUGGGAUCUCGCAAAAACUUUUAUUUUGUGUCACUUUGUGGCCAUUUUGUGUCUCUGUGGUCUUUUUGUGUCAUUUCAGACAUAAAAUGGCCACAAAGAGACACAAAAUAGCUACAAAGAGAGACAAAACGAGUGUCUCUGUCAUUAUUUUGUGUCUCUUUGUGGUCGUUUUGUGUCUCUUUGUGGUUGUUUUGU